rnacentral:rRNA from 1 species
UACGUAGGGGGCAAGCGUUGUUCGGAAUUACUGGGCGUAAAGGGCGCGUAGGCGGCACGGCAAGUCAGGAGUGAAAGGCCUGGGCUCAACCGAGGAACUGCUUUUGAGACUGCCGAGCUAGAGUGCAGAAGGGGCAACUGGAAUUCCCAGUGUAGCGGUGAAAUGCGUAGAUAUUGGGAAGAACACCUGAGGCGAAGGCGGGUUGCUGGGCUGACACUGACGCUGAGGCGCGAAAGCGUGGGUAGCAAACAGG